AAGCUCAUAACUUAAUGGUUAGAAUGUUUUCUUGAUGAGAAAAUUGUUAGUGGUUCAAGUCCACUUGAGCUUA